ensembl:snoRNA
CCUCUAUUUCUUGGCACAUGUGUGGUUGUUCAGUACUCACGUGUGCAAUGUACGGAGGGAGAGCAGUGCCGGUGCUAUGUCUUCGGUGCCAGCAUGUUUGUUGUCUGCUGGUUCUAUCCUCAAUCACUGGGACACGC